rnacentral:rRNA from 1 species
UACGAAGGGGGCGAGCGUUGUUCGGAAUUACUGGGCGUAAAGGGCGCGUAGGCGGCGAUCCGAGUCAGAUGUGAAAGUCCUGGGCUUAACCUGGGGACUGCAUUUGAUACUGGAAGGCUUGAAUCCGGGAGAGGGAUGCGGAAUUCCAGGUGUAGCGGUGAAAUGCGUAGAUAUCCUGAGGAACACCAGUGGCGAAGGCGACUUACUGGACACAUAUUGACGCUGAGGUGCGAAAGCGUGGGGAGCAAACAGG